rnacentral:rRNA from 1 species
GACGAACGCUGGCGGCGUGCUUAACACAUGCAAGUCGAACGGAAAGGCCCUGCUUUUGUGGGGUGCUCGAGUGGCGAACGGGUGAGUAACACGUGAGUAACCUGCCCUUGACUUUGGGAUAACUUCAGGAAACUGGGGCUAAUACCGGAUAGGAGCUCCUGCUGCAUGGUGGGGGUUGGAAAGUUUCGGCGGUUGGGGAUGGACUCGCGGCUUAUCAGCUUGUUGGUGGGGUAGUGGCUUACCAAGGCUUUGACGGGUAGCCGGCCUGAGAGGGUGACCGGCCACAUUGGGACUGAGAUACGGCCCAGACUGCUACGGGAGGCAGCAGUGGGGAAUAUUGCACAAUGGGCGGAAGCCUGAUGCAGCAACGUCGCGUGCGGGAUGACGGCCUUCGGGUUAUAAACCGCUUUCGCCUGUGACGAAGCGUGAGUGACGGUAAUGGGUAAAGAAGCACCGGCUAACUACGUG